CAUUCAACAUGAAUCUGAAAUAACACAGGCAAAUAAUUGAUUGUAUGUUAUGCCAUCUAUGUAUAAGAAUAGCACAUCAUAGUCAUUGGGAACAGUAAAAUCAAUAAUUAAAAUCUCAGACUUCUGCCAAACCAAACGAUAUAAGUACAUGGUUCAAAGGAAGAAAAUAGAGAGAGAAAAAAAAAUUCAGUCAGGAUGACUGCCUUCAGCAAAAUGUACCAACUUAACAACUUGGUUUCUUGUUAUAUCCCGUCAUGACACCACAUGAAUGUAAGUUGAUUUGUCUGACUCCCUCCAACUCAAUUGAUACCAAGAACAUGUCACAACAUUAACUUUUUUCACCUACAUCUUCACAAUCAAAUAUCUUAGACCACCCAUAAAAUAAGUUUAUGUAUAAAAUAGCCCGUUAUCUAAGAAAAAAUAAGAGCACAUGCAGUUGUAUCUAGGUUCACAAUGAAUCAUGCUUAAUUUAUCGUGAAACAACUAAGAAAGCAUCAUGCAAAAUAGUAAUCAUCCAAGUAAGAGAGGUACCAAUCAUAUAACGCCUUAAUUACUCUCUCAAGCAUAGAGAAAAUAUAUGUACUUUCCAACAAAAGAUGAGCGAGAGAGAGAGAGAGAGAGACAGAGAGAGACAGACCUCUACUCACCAAUAAACCUGGUAACCAAUGCAUUCGGCAGCCUUAAAAGCAACAAACAGUAGACUGAAACAAUUGAGUUUCUCUAAUGGUGUUGAAAAACAUAUAUAAGAUUAAUAUGUAAGACUACAUAUGGAAAUCUAAUCAGUGUGUCGAACACCUUGAGAUGACUAUCUGAGCGUAACAAAAAAGAGAAAUACAUGAUGAUAUAUGUAUAUAAGCCAGCGAACAUAAUUCCAUGUGUGUGUAUAUAUCUGGAAAUCAAUUGACUUCCCUCUGCACACUUGGUUGAAAUGCUGCAGUAUUUACCGUUAACAAACGACCAUGUGCAAGAAAAAUAGACACCUCGAGCUAAAUGAGAUCCGCAGGAAUAAAAAUAACCACUCCAAGUCUAAAUCAGACCCACAAGAAUUUAUGAACUGCAUGUUUUAACUCAAUCAAGUUGGGAUUCAGAUUUGCAGGUGCAUUUGUUAGCUCAGUCAGAAAUAAUGUCCGGAUUUGGGUGCAUGGUUUCACUUGGGAAUUCAGAGUAAGACGCGAAGAGAAUGCAACAAAUUUUAUCUACAUGGUUACAUAGAAGUGUAUGUAUUCAUGCAUGUAUGAACAACCUCAUGAGACAUGACAUAUAUAAUCAUAUGCAGUUUUUUGUGUUGGUGAAGCAUCAAGAGUCUUGUGGACGAUUGGAAUUUGGGGAGAAUCUGGACUAACCUGAUACAUGAGAGAAUUAGAAGAGACAAUGGCAGACAGCGAGGGUUCCUGAUUCGUCCCAUCCUACGCUAUCAGCAGGCGGCCUGUGGUGGAAUUUACGAAUCAGAACUUAAGUUGGAGUUUGAGAUAGAUGUAAUCUGGACUACAAAGAAGGUGGAGAAACUGAAAGGGAUGGCUCACCGAUGGCGGUUGAGAUUCGAUCAAGGCAUAGGGACAGAGGAGGGCCAAGGGAAAGCAGCGCCACUGCCGUUGGCUCGACGACGCUACAAAGCACCAG
rnacentral:lncRNA from 1 species